CGCCCCGCCGCGCCCCGGGACGCUUUGAUUGGCUCCUGGUUGACAGUUUAGCGCCGCCGGAGGCGGUCGGGUGGACGUUGACGGCCUGAAGCUCGUCCGCUGGCACCUCGCUCGCUGGGCUCGCCCGCUCGCUCGCUCUGGGCGUGCGAGUGGUCUUGAACCCUACUCCUGCUGCUUCCGUCUCUUGAGCACUGGAAUUGCGGGUGUGGCACCAUGGCCAGAAAGGACAGACCUACUUACAGCAGCAACGGUGAUUUUGAAAGCUCAUGUGAGGCUCUCUGCCAUCGUUGGGUUAUCUGCAAUGCUGGAAUGAAGUAGCUCAAGAUGAGCAAGCUGAAAGUGGUCGGAGAGAAAAGCCUUACCAAUAGUUCUCGGGUUGUGGGACUCCUGGCCCAGCUGGAGAAGAUCAACACGGAUUCCACAGAGCCAGAUACUGCCAGAUAUGUUACAUCCAAAAUCCUUCAUUUGGCUCAGAGUCAAGAAAAAACAAGGAGGGAAAUGACAACCAAAGGUUCUACAGGCAUGGAAAUUCUGUUGUCAACAUUGGAGAACACGAAAGAUCUUCAAACUGUACUUAAUAUCCUAAGCAUUCUUGUCGAGUUGGUAUCUUCUGGUGGAGGUCGAAGAGCAAGUUUCUUAGUUGCCAAAGGUGGUUCACAGAUAUUGUUACAACUUCUUAUGAAUGCCAGCAAGGAAUCCCCCCCACAUGAGGAAUUAAUGGUGCAGACCCAUUCCAUUCUUGCGAAGAUUGGACCAAAAGAUAAAAAGUUUGGAGUGAAAGCUAGAGUUAAUGGGGCACUGAACGUAACUCUGAAUUUGGUCAAGCAGCACUUCCAGAACUAUCGCUUGGUUAUGCCUUGUCUUCAGCUCCUUCGAGUGUAUUCUACCAACUCUGUGAACGCAGUAUCUUUAGGUAAAAAUGGAGUUGUGGAACUGAUGUUUAAGAUCAUUGGACCAUUCAGUAAGAAGAAUUCGGGUCUUAUGAGGGUUGCUUUAGACACUCUUGCUGCAUUGCUAAAAUCAAAAACAAAUGCCAGGAGAGCCGUAGACAGAGGAUAUGUUCAAGUGCUUUUAACAAUUUAUGUAGAUUGGCACCGCCAUGAUAAUCGGCAUAGGAACAUGCUCAUUCGGAAAGGAAUCUUACAGAGCUUAAAAAGUGUCACAAACAUCAAGCUGGGGAGAAAGGCGUUUAUCGAUGCGAAUGGCAUGAAGAUUCUGUAUAACACUUCACAAGAAUGCUUGGCCGUCAGGACGCUGGAUCCUCUCGUCAACACCUCUAGUCUGAUAAUGAGGAAGUGUUUCCCCAAAAACCGCUUGCCACUGCCAACCAUUAAAAGUUCUUUCCACUUCCAGCUGCCAGUCAUCCCCGUGACUGGCCCUGUGGCUCAGCUCUACAGCUUACCCCCUGAAGUAGAUGACGUACUAGACGAAAGUGACGACAACGAGGAUGCUGAUUUCGAAGCUGAACAUGAAGUGGAAAAUGAAGAUGACCUAGAUCAAAAUUUUAAGAGAUUUCAGUCCAGAUUCUUUAGGUUCUACACAACUCACCUGCAGAAUGAUGAUAUUGAAACAGAUAUUAACAAAUUAAGACCCCAGCAAGUACCAGGACGAACAAUAGAAGAACUAAAAAUGUAUGAACACCUCUUUCCUGAGCUUGUUGAUGAUUUUCAGGACUAUGAGUUAAUCUCUAAGGAACCGAAACCUUUUGUGAUUGAGGGGAAAGUUCGAGGCCCUAUCGUUGUUCCCACAGCUGGAGAGGAAGCAUCUGGGAGUUCACGCAGUGUAAAGAAAGGAGCUGGGGUGAAGGAGAAAGUGUCUCCUAAGGGAGAGGAAGCCACGGAGGAUGCCAGGGGCAGUGACAGGACGCUGCCACAGCAGCUAGGUGGUCAGAACAGAGCCGCUGCUUCAGCUCACAGCUUCAGCAGUGACAUUGUGAAGGCCUUAGACCGAAUCACGUUGCAGAACGUUCCUUCACAAGUAUCCCCGGGCGUGGCUGCAGGAAUGAGGAAGGACUGUGGUCUGCCUCUCAGUGUCCUCUCAUGCACGAAAGCAUGCCCACAUGUGGCUACGUGUGGAAGUACUCUUUUUGAAGGGCGGACAGGACAGCUUGGGAAGCUAUGUUGUACUGGAGUGGAAACUGAAGAUGAAGAAGACAGUGAGUCCAGCUCAUCUGUAGAACAGGCCUCCUCUGUUGAAGUCCCCGAUGGACCCACACUCCACGACUCGGACCUCUACAUUGAGAUUGUGAAAACUACAAAGUCUGUCCCAGAGUACUCAGAGGUGGCUUACCCUGAUUAUUUUGGUCACAUCCCACCCCCAUUCAAAGAGCCCAUCUUAGAAAGGCCUUAUGGUGUGCAAAGGACAAAGAUUGCCCAAGAUAUCGAGAGGCUGAUACAUCAGAAUGACAUCCUAGACCGGGUAGCGUAUGACCUAGAUAAUCCCAACUAUGCCACUCCAGAAGACGGAGAUAUUUUGAAGUUUAACUCAAAAUUUGAAUCUGGGAAUCUGCGCAAAGUAAUUCAAAUUAGAAAAAGCGAGUAUGACCUCAUUCUGAACUCAGAUAUAAACAGUAACCAUUACCACCAAUGGUUCUAUUUCGAAGUCAGCGGGAUGCGGCCUGGCAUUGCAUACAGGUUCAACAUCAUCAACUGCGAGAAGUCCAACAGCCAGUUUAAUUAUGGUAUGCAGCCACUUAUGUAUUCAGUUCAGGAAGCUCUAAAUGCCAGACCGUGGUGGAUUCGAGUGGGUACUGACAUUUGUUACUACAAAAAUCACUUCUCUAGAAGUUCGGUUGCUGCAGGGGGACAGAAGGGGAAGUCCUACUAUACAAUCACAUUCACCGUGAGCUUCCCACACAAAGAUGAUGUUUGCUAUUUUGCCUAUCACUAUCCAUAUACAUAUUCAACUCUGCAGAUGCAUCUUCAAAAGUUGGAGUCAGCACACAACCCUCAGCAGAUUUACUUCCGAAAGGAUGUGCUGUGUGAGACCUUGUCUGGAAACAGCUGUCCCCUGGUGACCAUCACAGCAAUGCCAGAGUCCAAUUAUUAUGAACAUAUCUGUCAGUUCAGAAAUCGCCCUUACAUUUUUUUGUCUGCUCGGGUCCAUCCUGGAGAAACUAACGCAAGCUGGGUCAUGAAAGGAACACUAGAGUACCUCAUGAGUAAUAGCCCUACCGCCCAGAGCUUACGGGAGUCCUACAUCUUUAAAAUUGUCCCUAUGCUGAAUCCAGACGGUGUCAUCAACGGGAAUCACCGCUGCUCUUUAAGUGGAGAGGACCUGAACAGACAGUGGCACAGCCCACACCCAGAUCUGCACCCUACGAUUUACCAUGCAAAGGGACUGCUACAGUACCUGGCGGCAGUGAAGCGCUCACCUCUGGUCUAUUGUGAUUACCAUGGCCAUUCUCGAAAAAAGAAUGUAUUCAUGUAUGGCUGCAGCAUCAAAGAGACAGUGUGGCAUACCCAUGACAAUGCAGCUUCCUGUGAUGUUGUGGAAGACAUGGGAUACAGGACUCUGCCUAAGAUACUGAGCCACAUUGCUCCCGCAUUUUGUAUGAGCAGCUGUAGCUUUGUGGUGGAAAAAUCCAAAGAAUCCACAGCCCGGGUUGUAGUGUGGCGGGAAAUAGGAGUUCAAAGGAGCUAUACCAUGGAGAGCACUUUGUGUGGCUGCGAUCAGGGGAGAUACAAGGGUUUACAGAUUGGCACUCGAGAAUUGGAAGAGAUGGGAGCAAAAUUUUGUGUUGGUUUAUUGCGUUUGAAAAGACUGACUUCUACGCUGGAAUAUAAUCUGCCCUCCAACAUGUUUGACUUUGAAAAUGACUUAAUUGAAUCAAGCUGUAAAGUAACUAGAGUCCUAAAAGCGACGAGGAAGUCAGAAAGGUCAGGGGAUGAUGACUCAGACUCGUGAAGAGCCAGGAGAGCGGAGGCGGGGAGAUCCAGGAGCUGCCGUGGAGACAGAUCGCGGUGACAAAACGGGCCUCGAGUGUGUGUACAGACACAGAAAGCUCUGGAAGGAGAUGGAAGACAGCGCCGCACAUGCUCUCAAGCUAACCUGGACACCCCAGUGGGAGCACCGGCGGGGGUAAAGAGUGGAGACGCCAUCAUUAAACCCUCAAAGCUGCUGGCUAGUCUCGUGGGAUUUAUGGACUCAGCCCACACCUGAACUUGUGCAUCUAAAAUGUAAAACCUCCAGCAACCAUGAGAUAAAGGCUGUGUGGGUCAUCCCUAUGACCUGAGAAGGAUUUUGGAUAUAUUCUUGCGAAUUCUACUUUUUAAAGUAACUUGAAAAUUUUGGUCAUAGGACAGAGUAGUGAGUUUCACAUGUGCCUAGUAUGUGCCCUUGCCAUUGGUGAGCAGCCCUAGGCCAGGCCUGUACAUUUGAGAAUUAAAAGCAUUUUUAUUGAGUUAUAUUUUACAUAUUAUAUAAUUCAGUCACUUCAAGUACACAAUUCAGUGGUUUUAAAAAGACUUGUUUUCCUUUUUAUAUUAGAAGAUGCUUGACCACAUACAUGUAUGUGCAUUACAUUUGUACAGGACACAUGGGGGCCAGAGGAGGGCGUUAUAUCCCUUGGAAGUGGAGUUACAGGUGGUUGUGUUACAUCAUGUAGGUGCUGGGAAUUGAACCCGGGUCCUCUGGAAGAGCAGCCAGCAUCUUAACUCCUCAGCUAUUUCUCCAGUCCCUCGAUGAGUUUUUGGAAAGUAAACAUACAGCUUGUACAACCAUGGUCAGUUCUGGACGGUUUUUGUCAUUCUCCUAUGUCCCCUACAUAGUUGCUGUUAGUCUGUCCCUGCUUCCUACAUUCCAGUGACUACUGUUCCACACAGUCUCUGUAGAUUUACCUUUUCUGAAUACUGAUAUAAAUGGGACCACAUGACACUUUAGAGGUCUACCUGCAUAUCAUGUGAGUCUCCUCUUGCUGAGUGAUGCUCCGUUGGGUGGAUAGACAGAUAGACUUGCUGGUUGGUGGAGGUUCAAGGCAGCUCCAGUCAGAUCUUUGUGUGGGGAAAGACUUAACAUUUCAAAUAAAAAGACUUGUCUUGA